GCUUAAAGCGACCGACGGACCGGCCCAGGUAACUUCAGCAGCAGGGUGAUCGAUCGGCAGGUCGCUUCAGCAGAGCGCCGAGGCAGCCGACCCGGCCAGCCCCUUCGCUUCCUCGUACGGCGCGUCGCCAUCGCGCCCCGGCCCUCGCUCGCUCCGCGCCCGAUCGCCGCCGCGCGCGCCGGUGGCGACCCGCUCCAAGGUUCGCGCCAGCCGCUGGGAGUGGGCACGCGGAAGCGCCCUGGCACUGAGACCUCCGAUGGGUGUUCGAUCAUUCGUUUCCAACUGAGUGAGCAAAGCAACAUAGCUACAACAAUGCUGGACCUGAUUUACAUGUUAGCUUGCGAUUUGGUGCUGGCCGAGAAUCCACAGGCUGAAGAGGUUCUCCGCUCCUCAACUCACCCAGAAAGGUUGUGUGCUGUUUGCAAAUUGGUGAUCCCGUCGCUGGAAGCGUCAUGGAAACCUGACAACUGUGAUCAUGUCAUCUGCAUUGCCUGCCUCUGCCAUUAUGCAGCCACGACAGAGGCCACCGGGCGGCCCAGGUGUGCGGUCACAUCUUAGUGAAUCUUUGUGCAAGUCAGUGUCACACCCGGUUUUAAGGACAAAACCGAAUGCAUAACUAUAUGUAUGUCAAGAUCAAGUUUCAUACAUAUAAAUACAUUAUAAGUGAAUAAUUAGUACAGUA